rnacentral:rRNA from 1 species
GACGAACGCUGGCGGCGUGCUUAACACAUGCAAGUCGAACGGAGCGCCUGUGAAAGAGACUUCGGUCAAUGGAUUGGGAUGCUUAGUGGCGGACGGGUGAGUAACGCGUGAGGAACCUGCCUUUCAGUGGGGGACAACAGUUGGAAACGACUGCUAAUACCGCAUAACAUAUCUGCAUCGCAUGGUGUGGAUAUCAAAGAUUUAUCGCUGAGAGAUGGCCUCGCGUCUGAUUAGCUAGUUGGUGGGGUAACGGCCCACCAAGGCGACGAUCAGUAGCCGGACUGAGAGGUUGGCCGGCCACAUUGGGACUGAGAUACGGCCCAG